AAAAUGAAAUCUCACUAUUGCUCAUCUUAAUGAAUCCUUUUUCGUAGGAUUUACACAAUAAAAUUAGGUUUCUAGGUGAAAAGGAGUCAGUUAUACGAAAUGCAUUCGUGUUUGGAGGAAAUAUGUCACUCUAUGGUCGCCGUAGAAGCAUUAUUUCAAAACGCACAAACGAGGGUCUCUGGCUGUGGCAGGUCUGCCUCUUCUCCCUCACUCGUGGAUUGUAAGACGUGGGAGUGCAGAGUGCAAGACAUCAGCGUCAUUGAGGUCUCUCUUACAGAAGCAUUACAGAUGUGCAGAAUUUCACACGCAUUGUGCAACUGAAGUCCAAGUUUAUGCCAGAACUUGACAUCUGCUCCAGGC